CUUCUUCUUGCCUGCGGACGGCCGUGGCCAAAAGAGGAGAAGGACGAUGAGAGAUGCCCGGAGAAACAUCGCAUGCCCGCGGGCUGCGCGAGUUACCCGCGGAGGACUUCUGCAAAUUAUCAGCAUGGUUCAAGGAUGAAGCCGGCGUGGCAGCUGUAAUGGAGCACUGUCCCUUCCACUGGUGGCCCUGGGGGCUUCACGGUCACCCGGCCGUUCUCCAGGGAAGUCCACACCCGCGGGCACAGCAGCACUGGGAACCAGAAGGACCACAAAAGAGAGGGAGACAGAGACACAGAGAGUUAUUGAAAGCUCACAAUUGAAUGAGACAUGGAACGAUUAGAGGGAGAGAGCUGGAUGUCAUGUGACAAAGGUCAAAGGUUGCAGCUGAUCCCGGAACAUGGCUUUGGCCUCUGUAUCGGAUCCCCCCAUCCCUGGGAGGCCGGAUGAUGGCACAGCCUGAAAACAAGAGAAGAGGAAGAAGAAUGAGGAAAGAAGGACGACAAGAGCAGAGAGGGAAAGCUCUGUCUCCAGAUAAUGUAGAUAUAUUACAGCAACAUGAUAUAUUGUCAAUUUAACUGAUGCCGUCCUCACUGCACAAAUUACAGUGCUUCAUUCAGGUCACUUAGCAAUCUCUGCAGAGUUACUUCUGUCCAUUAAUGCAUAUUAUAGACACGCACACAGACAGCAAACACACAGACAGAUUCCCACAUGUAUUCAGUCACAAACACACACACA